AGUUCGAUCUAGCUCAGAUUGAACGCUGGCGGGAUGGGCACUACACAUGCAAGUCGAACGGCAGCACGGACUUCGGUCUGGUGGCGAGUGGCGAACGGGUGAAGUAAUGUAUCGGAACGUGCCUAGUAGCGGGGGAUAACUACGUAGCUAAUACCGCAUACGCCCUUCGGGAAAGCAGGACCUUCGGGCCUCGCACUAUUAGAGCGGCCGAUAUCGGAUUAGCCCUAGUUGGUGGGGUAACGCUCACCAGGCGAUCCGUAGCUGGUUUGAGAGGACGACCAGCCACACUGGGACUGAGACCUGGCCCAGACUCCUACGGGGAGGCAGCAGUGGGGAAUUUUGGACAAUGAGGGAAACCACAGUCCAGCCAUCCCGCGUGUGCGAUGAAGGCCUUCGGGUUGUAAAGCACUUUUUUGGCAGGAAAGAAACAGCACGGGAUAAUACCCCGUGCAUGGCGAACCUGCAGAAUAAGCACCGGCUAACUACGUGCCAGCAGCCGCGGUAAUACGUAGGGUGCAAGCGUUAAUCGGAAUUACUGGGCGUAAAGCGUGCGCAGGCGGUUCCGGAAAGAAAGAUGUGAAAUCAGAAGCUUAACCUGGAACUGCAUUUUUAACUACCGAGCUAGAGAGUGUGUCAGAGGGAGGUGGAAUUCCGCGUGUAACAGUGAAAUGCGUAGAUAUGCGGAGAGAGAACACCGAUGGCGAAGGCAGCCUCCUGGGAUAACACUGACGCUCGGUAGUUAGUGCGGAUAAGGAUUUCACAUCUUUUCUUUCCGAACCUGCUGCGCACGCACCCGCCCGGUAAUUCCGAUUAACGCAACUUGCACCCUACGCGGCUGGCGCAUGAGUUAGCCGGUGCUUAUUCUGCGGGUACCGUCGGUUUUACGAGUGUUCCAUCCCGUGCCGUUCUUUCCUGCUAAAAAGUGAAGCGCAACCCCGAAGGCCUUCAUCGCACGCAGGAUGGCUUUAGGUCGAUUUCCCCAUUGUUGCCCGCACCCGUAGGAGUCUGGGCCGUCUCCCGGUGCAGUGUGGUCGUCCUCCGUGCGCAUGUUACCCCCGCCAGCCAAUCCGAUAUCGGCCGCUCUGGCGAGUGCGGGCCGAGCGGAGUCCCGCUUCCCGAGGGCGUAUGCGUGUGCUACAUGUCGAUCCGUCCCCCCGCUGCACUCAGAACACGUUCCGGCGACUACUCACCGUUCGCCGCAUAAGCCAUAUGGCACUUUGCGUAUUGUAAAGCAUCCGCCAUCUAUCUGAGCAACUUCUCUGUUCUGGUGUACAUGGCUA
rnacentral:misc_RNA from 1 species